CAGGAGGGAGAGUGGACGGCGAAGGGCCUAUUACUUGUUGUGUGAUUGUUCCACUAUGGUUGCAGGUUUCAAUCAGGGUGGCGCUGUGUUGAUUGAUCCUGCACUGCAGUCUCUUCUCUUCUCCUGCAUUCACCACCUGCCAAAUUGGGGGGGCCGUCCAAUCGGUUGUGGUUUCCAUCAGGGUGGCGCUGUGUUGAUUGAUCCUGCACUGCAGUCUCUUCUCUUCUCCUGCAUUCACCACCUGCCAAAUUGGGGGGGCCGUCCAAUCGGUUGUGGUAAGGUGAAUUUUGCUGUCUUAAGACAAUUUUUGUCAUGCGUCCUUUUUCCAGUUUACUGUCGGCGUUGCAGGACAGUGUAGCGAAUUUGGUUG
rnacentral:lncRNA from 1 species